UUUUUUUUGCGGGUGUGAUGACAGAGUGUAGACUUUGUCUCAUUCAGGUGACCUAUUUUAUGGUUUUCCUGGGCUGUGGGUUGGUUGUUUUGUGGUUUUUUUUCCAAGAAGUUGACACUAACCUAGUUCCUCUGAAUUAUUUUUUUUUUUUAAAUUUUGAAAUAUGUUUGUAAUGCUAAAGAUAAGGCCUGAAGAUAAGCCACCAUAAAAAAGUAACAAGGGAAGCCUUAGUGAUAAUAUUCCAGAUGGAGGGAAGUCAUUCACAAUAAACGCCGCUCCAUGCAUUUAUUAGUCAACUUCAGUAAACUUUAGAAACUUUACCUCUAACAGCAUCCUUUCACUUUCAACAUUGUUUUCCCUUUAGUCUUCAUGUAUUAUUUUAGAAAGAGAAAAAAGGGCUUCAGGAAAAAAAGUGGAGAAAGCUAUGUAACUAAAUCUGUUAUUUUUAAUAUCAAAAUCCUGAGUCAUUUGGUCCCUCCACAACUUUGCAGAAUGCAGGUAAGGUGUGCUCAUCAGCACAGGGGCAGAGACCUCAGUCUCUAUGCACUGGGAGUACCUAACAGUAGUCACUGUGACUGAGUGUGAAUAUUCACUCUCCUAAAACUUAAGAAACUGUACACAUGUUGGCAGAAGCAUGCCAUCUAAGGCAGCACAAGCAGAUGCAUCCUGGAAUCCACAUGCUACAGGAAUAUAUCCCUUUUUCUUCUACCAUUCUAUUUCUGUUAAAGAGAAAAUUCCGUUUCAGAGUUUACCGCAGUGGUAAUUGCCACAGCGCUUAAUUCACCCAAAUGCAACAUUUAUGUAACAGGUACAGUACUAUUUAAAUACUCUCUGAAAUGAAAACUACUCAGACUAGAACAGCUUAGUAUUGUAAUUAAACAAAAAAAAAAAAAAAAAAAAAAGAAAAAAAAGUCCAGAGAGAGGUGGUCUUGGAUAUUUUUCUUCAGGUGAGAAGGAAAACACCAUUCUAGAACAAAACAGCCUGCAAACAUUUCUAGUUCUUAACAUGUGGAAGAGCUUCUUCCAGGAAUUUAUUGUUUUCCAGUCUGCAACUAUUUUGUUUGGAGAAGUGGAAAUAGCAUACAGCAAACAGUUCAGACAAAGGAAGGAAAGCUAUAAGAACUCUGAUAAAGAAACCUGAUUUUCUACAGUAAGAAACAGUACCAGGAGUCAGGCUUUGCAUGUCUAGAAUACUUAUUUAUACAAACCAUUUUCCCUCAUUGUUUUUUUCAGACUGACUGUACGUAAUAAUCCUACAGUUUCUUUGAUGCCUAAAGUGGUAUGUGCUCUUUACUUCUGCAUGGAAAACAUUUUCAUCCAGAGCUGUGAACAACCUCAUUAAAAGUGUCCAGUGGCAUCUGUGAGAGAGGAACUACAGGACUGUGAGACAGUCAUUUUAUGUAUCUUUUUAGUCCCAUUAAUGCAUAAAUUUUAUUUGACACUGGUAAUAAUGGAGUUAAAAUGCCUUUUUCAGCUGUGCUUAUGUCACACUAGAAGAGUUCAAAGAUGAACUUCUGAAGGUGACUUUUCAACAGCAAAUUUGUUGUGUUUGGCAUUUCCACAAAGGAUUCAUCAGGGUUAUAUUAUAACUUGGACAAUGUUAUCAAUAUUUCCAGGGGGAAAAUAUAUAUAUAUUUAAGUGAAAGAAGACUAAAAUAUCUUAAUGUGUAGAUUGUGAAUUUCAAAGCAAUAAAGAAUGGUAGUAAGCAGUUUUUACUUUUAGCUCUGAUUCAGCAAUUGUUAAUAUAUUUCCAAAUACGUCUGCACUCAGUGAGCUGGGGGACGGUUAUGCAAAGAUAAUUUAUCCUAAUGGAGUUUUACCUUUCCAUAAAAUUAAAAAAUAUAUAUAUUUCUCAUGAAGAGAAGAAUAUGCAGAAUAUAUCAAUAGUGAGAAAUCUAUAAAGGUAAUGUAUUUUUGUUUCAGCAAUAACUGAUACGAACUUAUCCUGGGUGAUCUGUGAAGUUUAUUUCAUGUUUUGUAAACCCCACAUAUGCCAGAAAAAAAGCACCUUCUCAUGCUUCAUUGUUCCAGCUUCCUCUGCAGCUUGUUUCACCUUAUUUGGCUAUAAGAGUUACUGGAACCAAUAGUGAACUGCGUGGUAGAAUUUCAGUUUAUACUAAAAGAAUUAAUUUGUUUGCAAUUAUUGCAUUUUGUUUAAUUCAGCUGCAGGUUAGUAACACUAAGCUUUUCAGAGGAAAAAAUAAUUUUGCUUUUUAAAUAACUGAAAUAAGGAGCAUAAGUAAUAAAUUACAUCUGACAUCAGUAGGACUUUAGAAAGCCUAUUGUAAGGGUUGCGUAAUUAUUUACUGGCAAAUAAGGUUUCAGAAAAAAAUGUAACUCAGUCCCCUGUGAGGAUGUUAGGCCCUUUCUGACUGGUUCGAUGAAAUACAUUCCUCGGACUGACUUCUCGUAAUGUUGGAAACAAGUCUGUCAGAAGAAAAUGUGAUCUCUCCAUGUGGACCAUAUUCCCAUGCUUGACAACAUUUAGUGUGUUUGUCCUCACAUCAGACUUAUGCCUAAUGUUAACUCCAGUGACACAGUAAGUGGCUCACCUGAGAUAACCCAGGAAAAGUGUUACACUCGACUGUUCUUUUCUAGCUUUUUCUGCCCUGUGCCAGGUUCAUUUUGAUUCCCGAGGAUAAAGCUGAGUAGAUAAAAAAGGCUACUCAGGGUGCACUGAAAAAGGCACUGAAAGAGGCAUUCCCUGCUGACCCGUUUUAUUGCUCUUCUUUCUUGUAGGCAAGAGCAAGCCAUGCUCUUUGUACUGACAGCAUGUUUGGACUUGGCUUGGGAAGAAUUUGAGUUGCCCCUCUAAUACACAGCACAGGUUGCAAGGUGAGCAUCUGAGACUGCAGACAGCUGUGUGAACAUGGUGAUUUUGAUGUAAGCAAAUGUUUGAGCAUUUUUACACACUGCAUUAGGUUGGAAAUUAGAUUCCAAGUAUGAAUGAUGUGAAAAACUGCUGUUGUGCAACAGGUUCGUGAUCCUCUAGGACUUCUGCAAGGGAUUUGAUUGUUUGUAGAUCUCUAGGACUUGAUGAUUAUAGGUCUCCUGAAUAUGUAUCUAGUGUAAUAUAUCAACUAGGAAAACUACUAGAUUUUUAAGCUGAAGCUUCUUACAGAGGUCUUUUCUAGGCUUUACAGAUAAAUACUGUGCUGCUUUACCGUAAAAGUGAUGUGCUCAUUUGAACUGUCCUGGGAUAUUCAAACUGGAAAUAAAAUUCAGUUACA
ensembl:lncRNA